AGUCGAGCGGAAACGACAACAUUGACCCUUCGGGUGAUUUGUUGGGCGUCGAGCGGCGGACGGGUGAGUAAUGCCUGGGAAAUUGCCCUGAUGUGGGGGAUAACCAUUGGAAACGAUGGCUAAUACCGCAUAACGUCUACGGACCAAAGAGGGGGACCUUCGGGCCUCUCGCUUCAGGAUAUGCCCAGGUGGGAUUAGCUAGUUGGUGAGGUAAUGGCUCACCAAGGCGACGAUCCCUAGCUGGUCUGAGAGGAUGAUCAGCCACACUGGAACUGAGACACGGUCCAGACUCCUACGGGAGGCAGCAGUGGGGAAUAUUGCACAAUGGGCGCAAGCCUGAUGCAGCCAUGCCGCGUGUAUGAAGAAGGCCUUCGGGUUGUAAAGUACUUUCAGUCGUGAGGAAGGCAUUAAAGUUAAUAGCUUUAGUGUUUGACGUUAGCGACAGAAGAAGCACCGGCUAACUCCGUGCCAGCAGCCGCGGUAAUACGGAGGGUGCGAGCGUUAAUCGGAAUUACUGGGCGUAAAGCGCAUGCAGGUGGUUUGUUAAGUCAGAUGUGAAAGCCCGGGGCUCAACCUCGGAACCGCAUUUGAAACUGGCAGGCUAGAGUACUGUAGAGGGGGGUAGAAUUUCAGGUGUAGCGGUGAAAUGCGUAGAGAUCUGAAGGAAUACCAGUGGCGAAGGCGGCCCCCUGGACAGAUACUGACACUCAGAUGCGAAAGCGUGGGGAGCAAACAGGAUUAGAUACCCUGGUAGUCCACGCCGUAAACGAUGUCUACUUGGAGGUUGUGGCCUUGAGCCGUGGCUUUCGGAGCUAACGCGUUAAGUAGACCGCCUGGGGAGUACGGUCGCAAGAUUAAAACUCAAAUGAAUUGACGGGGGCCCGCACAAGCGGUGGAGCAUGUGGUUUAAUUCGAUGCAACGCGAAGAACCUUACCUACUCUUGACA
rnacentral:rRNA from 1 species